AACGAACGCUGGCGGCAUGCCUAACACAUGCAAGUCGAACGAGACCUUCGGGUCUAGUGGCGCACGGGUGCGUAACGCGUGGGAACCUGCCCUUAGGUUCGGAAUAACUCCCCGAAAGGGGUGCUAAUACCGGAUAAUGUCUUCGGACCAAAGAUUUAUCGCCUUUGGAUGGGCCCGCGUUGGAUUAGCUAGUUGGUAGGGUAAAAGCCUACCAAGGCGACGAUCCAUAGCUGGUCUGAGAGGAUGAUCAGCCACACUGGGACAGAGACACGGCCCAGACUGCUACGAGAGGCAGCAGUGGGGACUAUUGGACAAUGGGCGAAAGCCUGAUCCAGCAAGGCCGCGAUAGUGAUGAAGGCCUUAGGGUUGUAAAGCUCUUUUACCCGGGAUGAUAAUGACAGUACCGGGAGAAUAAGCACCGGCUAACUCCGU
rnacentral:rRNA from 1 species